AUUGAACGCUGGCGGCAUGCUUUACACAUGCAAGUCGAACGGUAACAGGUUAAGCUGACGAGUGGCGAACGGGUGAGUAAUGCAUCGGAACGUGCCCAGUCGUGGGGGAUAACGCAGCGAAAGCUGCGCUAAUACCGCAUACGAUCUGAGGAUGAAAGCGGGGGACCGUAAGGCCUCGCGCGAUCGGAGCGGCCGAUGUCAGAUUAGGUAGUUGGUGGGGUAAAGGCCCACCAAGCCGACGAUCUGUAGCUGGUCUGAGAGGACGACCAGCCACACUGGGACUGAGACACGGCCCAGACUCCUACGGGAGGCAGCAGUGGGGAAUUUUGGACAAUGGGCGAAAGCCUGAUCCAGCAAUGCCGCGUGCAGGAAGAAGGCCUUCGGGUUGUAAACUGCUUUUGUACGGAGCGAAAAGGUCCUUUCUAAUACAAGGGGCUCAUGACGGUACCGUAAGAAUAAGCACCGGCUAACUACGUGCCAGCAGCCGCCGUAAUAC
rnacentral:rRNA from 1 species